rnacentral:tRNA from 1 species
GGUUCCAUAGCUCAACCGGAUAGAGCAACGGUUUUCUAAACCGUAGGUUCCAGGUUCGAGUCCUGGUGGGACCA